GGGAGUGAAGGGAGGGGGGGAAGCGGGAGCGCGCGGGCGCGCGCCCGCCGCAGCAACGGCUUCGCGCGGGCGCCGCAGUCCCUCAGGGGAACCGGACCCCCCCCCACACCCCCGCCCCUCUCCUCCCCGUCCCUCAGCAGCCGCCGUGGGCGGGAGGGCUGGCGGGGUACCCCGGGAUAAAGCUGGCUGGGAGGAACAAGCCGGGCCUGCUCUUCCUCCCCCGUAGUCCCUCCCGGGGCGGGAGCGCAGGCCGCAGCCGGCCGCCGCCUGAGCGAGCGUGUCGCUCGGCUCCCCGCCCCGCUCGGGCACCCGCCCACCACCCCCGGGCACCGGGCGCUGUCUCACCCCUGCUGCCCAGGAGGUCCUUCCCCGUGCGGAGGGUGCGGGAGCUCCUCGAGAAAAGGCCGAGAAGGUGUGAGGGCAAAGAGUGGCCAAGGAAGUGUCGUGGAGGCGGAGGAGAGGGAUGGAGCCGGGAGAAGCAGUGGAUAUGGCCGCCGGGCCGGGAAGCUCCAUCCAGAUGCUGGUGGAGUUGGUGCCAUGGAAAAUGGACGAGCUGCCAGGAUUCGCGGAGUAGAGAACUUCUGAACAGAAAGCAGCUUCUGUGACUGCUUAGGAAAUCAAUGAAGUCUGCAAUAGCCACCAGCCACAAAAGCAUCUGAUUUCCUGGAUCAAAGUGCAUGCCUUGGUAGAUUUCCUACUCCAUGUUGAGACUCCUUUUUGCAAGUUUCAACAAGCAUCCUGCAUGGAAGUACAAACUGCACUCCUUUUGCCCACAGAGAGGAGUUCGGCUGCUGGCUGGAAAACGCUCAGCCCUCUGAACUGUUCCGCGAGCUAUUGCAGGAGCCUGGGAAGAAGCUGACACUGGAGACGGGUGAGCUCCUUACGGGUGCCACUUGAAACGUAAAACCCUCGUGAACUAGGAGUUGCUGGAAUUUGUGGAACUUGGACACCUGCCCUUUAGGCAAUGGGGAUUUCCAUCCGAAGGAGUUAGAGGUUGUUAUUACCAAACCAUUCCAAAGCUCCAAACCAGGUUUAUAAGUUUGGAGAAACACGAUCCCUGCCUGCCCCAUCUCACAGAGCUUUUUGAAGACUGUGUUAAACAGAAACGCCUCACAAACCCACUUAGCAGAAACCCCUACAUUCAUCAGCUGCUCAAACAGCGUACAAAUUUCACAUUUUUGAGGCAUAGUUUUGACUUCAGUAAGUUUCCUCUUCAAAGAAAAUGUCAAUAACAUUCCAGUGGAACAUAUUCUGAUGCCAACUCCAAGUGGUAAAAAUAAUCAGACUUGGGCAGUCCUCAAGGAUCCAAUGUUUUGAAGUGAUACGCAAGUUAAACGGUUAACAGACUCAUACAAGUUGGAUUAUAUAUGCCUGGCAUCACUUAAAAAUUCUCUGUCCUACUCAAGUAAGUACUAGUUUUCUCAAUCUAAGUUGGAUUAGAAACAAGUGAAAUCGUUCCUUCACUGAGGUGAGGAGUAAGUCAGCCUCAAUUUCAGCGAUAGAGAAUUAGGCUGUUACUCUGUAAACACACAUACACGCUUACAAAAAUAACUGAUCGGUUUAAGUGCAAGCAAUUGUGUAUCUAUGUAAGAAGUUAAGACAUAGGUAUUGUCAUAAAUAAUAGAAUCCUUUAGCCUUAGACUCCUAAGUUUGAAAUCAAAUUAAAAUAAGGAAUUGAGGUAAUCUCGAUAUUUAGCAGUUUACUGGGUGCUUGUGUCCUUUCCUAUUUAAAGAUUUGUGCUGGAUUUCAAAACAUUUAGAGUUGAAAUAUUCCAAAUGAGAACAUUUUUCUUAACUGGGAUCUAAAAUUGCAAAACACAAAGCAAGUGUCCUCAGUUACCCAACUGAGCCUUCUUCUGAAAAGUCCUUAAAAAAAAAAAAGGAAUACGUGUAUUUAUGUGGAUGUGUUGGGCUCAAAUCAUUAUCGUACAUUAUGUUUGGAAGGCUAUUCUUAAUAUUUCCACACUGUUAGUAGUAUUUCACAUACUUCUGUGUUUAUGUACGUACAUGUACAUAUAUACACACAGUCACAUGCUCUUUCCUUAGUUUAGCUCCAGUGAAGUUAUAAAAACCAGCCCAGUUUACAUCAGCAAAAGUUUGGGCAUAGGGCUUCUCCACCCAUUUUAAAACCUCUAACUAAAAUGUAACCCCUAAAAUAUAUGAAUUGAGGCCAGAUUUUCAAACCCAGAAGUAGAUCUGAAGUGACCCUCAGAUGUGGCUGAGACCUAAGUAUGUUAUUAUGGUCAGAAUGGAAGAACCUGUCUCGACAGUACACGCCCCAGCAAGAUCAAUUGGUUCACCACUCUAAAGCAAUGAGAAACCAAACACUAUCUUUAUGGUAGCCAAGCUGUGAGUUCACUAGAACGUCAGGUAUCAGAAAGCCAGGAUGAGACAAGGUAGAGGAGGAUGGAUUAGAAAGUGCGCGUGUGUUGGGGGAAGGAUUAGUAUACCGAGAGCCAUAAUUGUGUGAGAAUGUUAUAAAACAGUCACAGCCUGAAAAAAAUAAAGCACUGUUUAUUGCCAGUGUUACCAAAUAUUCUGUGAGAAAUCAGAGUCAAGACUGAAACGCAGGCAGUUGGGGUCAGGCAGAAGCAGCGUUAGGCCUCUGUUGUUACUAUUAAUCUGAUCCAAACUUUUCUGCUCCGCUAGCUGAGGCUAUACUGAAGAAUGCAGAAAAACGCCACUUGACUUUGAGGUCAGAAUUUUGCGAGAACUUUUUCCAUGAGCGUUCAGGUAUAAGAUAACGCUGAGAGACAAUGGCAGGGGAGUUGUGAAGGUUAAAGAGAAAGAAGUAUAGUGAUCAUACUUCCACAGAAUAAAGCAAAGGAAAAGACAGAGAGUAAGGGGAAAGAAGAGCUCAAAGGCACAUGAUACUUCUUCACAGUUUUGCCUCCAGGAACAAUUUCUCUUCCCAGUCAACAGGGGUAAUUCCCAUUUGGCUACUGGUGAGAAAGGCUCAAGAUCAGAUGUGUCUCUUAUUGGCAACGCUUGCAUUUUGAGGAACAGACCAUUGGAUUUCCAGCCUUUACAAUCAAACAUUUUUUGCUAACUAUAUGCAGAAUUAAUUUUGCUUUUGAGUCAAAUACAUCCCUCGGGCAGACUGAGUCAAGUCAAUACCUUCACAACAUGAAAGAAUUUGGCUCAGAAUAUUAUGAACAGUUUAUAUCUCUGUGGCUACUCGGGCUGCUCAAAUAACUGACAGCAGUGGACAGUAGUUUUGAGCUAUCUGGGAGAGCUUUAAUAUUAAUGUUUUUUUGUCUGUAGCCCUUUUAGUCCCCAGCUGAAAUGGCUUUUGAUAGAAGGGCCUUAGUCAAUGACUGUUCUGAGGGAACAGUACAACUCCCACAGAUUUUAUUAAACUUAGAGAUAUAUUGGACAUAUAUCUCAAGCAAGAUUUAUUUAUGCAAUAUACUGUCUUCCCAAUUACACGGUAUAUUAUACAAUGGAAAUGAUCAAAUGUUUCCUUCUCAUAAAAAUAUGCCAUGCGAUAUGGUCAUAAAGACAGAGUGAAUGAAAUGACAGAGAGUCUUUCCCUCCCAUACACUAGCAAGAAUUAUAAUACUUAUAGUAACGAAAGGUAAAAUUCAUUUGUGAGCCAAGCUGGUGUGUGCUACAGGAUCCUAAAAAAAGCCUGAAGAAACUUCAGAGAUGUUCCAUUAAAUGAGUCUGUUGAAUCUGAACUGUAAGUACUGGACAUUGGAAUACUUCCCCUUUCUAUUUUAUUUUUGAAAACCAAAUGUAAAAGAUUCCCAAACAAACAUGGACCUGUGACAGGAGACCUGAGAUGGGGAGCUUGUGCACCUUCCCUCUACCUUCUCCUUAGAAAAUAACAAUCUAGACUCUCUCUCUUGAAUAGCUCCUCUCUGUUCCAUUAAAACAUUGCCGACAGAAUCAUUUAGUCUGUAAUGAAGAUCUGAUGACAUAAGGAACAUUGGGCAUCCUGAGACAGCACAUGGUCCUUCAACUCUUCUCUGUCUUGCAGUGCUGAAGCAAUAAGUGAAUUGAUUUUUUCCCCCCCCUGGGGUAUUCUCAUGGAGCAACACAAUAUUUUUCCUCAUUUGUAAAAUGAGCAACUAAAACUUAAUAGAAUUGCUCAUGGUCAAAAUGAAGGUCCACAGCAGGGCAAAGAACUGAAAGAAGUGCUUCUGAAUCCCAACCAAGUAUUUAAAAUAUCAGAGAGAUAAUGGAUUUUUUAAAAUAAAUAUUACUAUUCAGUUUAGCAGUAUUUUCCUGUAUUGAUCACCCAAUAGUCUUCUACUGAACCUGACGGAUAUAUACUGGCCUUUUUUCAAAAGAGAAAUAGUUAUAGAGACUUACAAAUUAUUAGGGUCUAUAUCUCUUGAAAUUAAAAAUUCUGUUUUUCUAGUAGCGUAUUGUGGAUUUGCAGGGCUUGUCCUUAUUGGACUUAUAAUAGCUUUCUUCCUAACAUGUACUUACAUUCACAUAAACAUAUUGGCCUACAAAUAAAAUGUCUUUUUAGAAGUAGAAGUCACAAAAUAACUUUAAAAAAAAAACCUCUUAUAGGGUGCCUGGGAGUAAACUUGUGUGAAAGGUACUUCAUUAUCAUGAUCCCAACAAUUUUGUCUCAAAGGCGUGAGGCACUGACGCUGCUGGAAUCUGGACCUUGCGCUAGAUUAACGGCUGUUCUGAUCCAGUGAGGCUAUUUCUACCUUUCUGUGUUUGCAGCUGAGAAUUUUUCCAUGGUCAGAUGAAUCUAAAACUAUUGAGAUUGUUUGUCUUCUUUUUUCCCCAAGCUAUAUUUUUGUUAUCUUAACAAAGACACCAUAAGACACAGAAAGAAAUCACAGGCAGUUAACUGGAGAGGACAGAAGACAACUAUCAUGCUGGUUUAGUUAAAACUUUAGCUUGGGAUCAGAAAAAGGGGUAGAAGAAGAGCUAGUCUCUCUUUUUCAGCCACUGUAGUUAAGAAUGUGAGCAGCCCACGCCAGAAUGAUUGCAGUGUAUCCUGCUAGUGUGUCUGCUUUCCAAAACAGGGAAGUACAUUUCUCCCAGAAGGUACCCUGGUUUAUGCAGCCAGUGCCACAGAGUAGGAGAAGCAUUAUCAUAUAUUCAGUGGAAGAAAAAAAAAAAAACAACCAGCAACUCAUUCUCAACAAGUAGUACAGACCUCAAUCAAAGCAGCUCCCUAAAAUCAAAGCAAAUACCUCCUACGGAUGCAGUUUAUGGCAUCUACCAGUAUGCUCUUAUAUUUAACUGUCAAAUAAUAAACGCAGCUGGAACUACAGCAGGUCAGUGUUGGUGAAAGUGAAGAUAACUCCUUCCCAAGACUGACACAGUGAAAUUUGGCAUGUGAGUUUAGGUACUCCAAUUUAUCUUAUUGGAAAACACAUCACUUCAACAAGAACAAAGACCGCAAAAUUCUGAGUAUGCGGAGCAAUUUGAGCCGGGAUGCGUUUCAGAAAAGGAUUCCCUCUCUUGGCCUUAGGUGUGCAAUUGGAUUCAUCGGAGCGGCUGCCCCCAGCUUCUUAUAGCCCCACUGGUAAAGCACAGGUACCUGCUGGGUCAGGACUUUCAGUUUCUGUUGGUCACCCUUAUAAACAAAACCAACGCACAACAUGCUUAGGUAUUGUACAUCAGGAAACUAUUCCCCGCUCACUGAAGUGUUCUUUCUCAUCAGAACUUCACUUUUCUCCAGGGGAGCCGAGAGAAGGACAAGAACGCAUAGAUCUCAAUUUCAGCUGGUGGUUUUUUAGAGCUAUUUUUCUAACUUGUGCACACCAAUGAUGAGAAAGUUCAUGCUUCCUCUACAUGGUGUUGUCCUAAGUUUGAAGCUGCCCCUGAAAUACACUAAUGUGUCUUUUCUAUUCAGUUCCUGAACCAAAUAGGUAAGUGGUAUGAGUUAGAAGAGUUCUCAUUCUUUCAGAAUAGGGAUUAUGUUUUAUUUCAUAAAUUCUCUUCAGGAUUUUCUUACCUUCCCUCUCCCUCCUUUGUAAUCAUAUGACAUUCUGGGUCAACUACAACAAAUGCUUACAUGGAAAUGAACUAUUAGGAAGUUAUUAGCAUUUAGCAUAAUUUUGCUGGCAUUAAUGCAAUUUAGAAGCAGAAUAAAAGGAAGCAGUGCCAGUGCUGUGCUAUCAGCCAGCUCUCCAGCUCACCCUAAAGAAAGCUCUGUGAGCCGGUCUGAUAAUCCACAGACCACGACUGAGCACCUCUGGGUUACACAGGCUUGUUGGAAAGCCUGCUACAGGCAAGAACUGCUUUUUCCUUGUUGGACUGAAGGCAACCAAGGGAGCAGAGAGAAAGGUAGCGUUGUGCGCUGGUAUCUUGGUUAGCCGUCUACAUCAGCGGAAGGAUGCGUGGGAGAUUCUUAAAGGUCGCACAGUAGGAAUGAAAAUGAUGUUAAUUUCUGCCCCUGCAAAGUGAAGUGCUGGACAGGAACAUGCAGAAGACUGAGAUGGUAAAGACAAGAUGUUAAAUAUAGGUCAGUACACACACAAAAUUGAAUCCAGAGCUUUAACAACCUCUGUUAGCUUCCACAUUACUGUCUCUAUGAACUAUGUUGAGAAGAGCUUCGUAGUAUUUGCUAAUUUCAUUUGGAGGCCUCACGCUUUCAAAUUUAAGUGAGUACAUUCAGGUGGUAGAAUUUAUGAUCUCUAAAUUCAUUUUUCCCACAGAACUUCCAGGAGUAUUUUGGGGAAGACAGACAUCAUAUUUGAUCAAUUUUCCUUUCUGGUUUCACUCACAAUUCCACAGAGACAAUUGAGUUAAUUCACUAUUCCUAUGUUUUUGUCAUUCUUCAGGUGCUAAAAGGCAGGAGUGAAAAGAAGGAGGCAAGGGAAGGAGCCACAGAGAACCUUUCUCCUUUUGCGAUUUCUUCAUGCAUGAAAGGAAGAGAGGUCAAGUUCUCAUGCCUGCUUUCCUAAAGUCACGCUCUAGCCACAUCCCGUCAGCACACACUGCAUGCAGUCAGUAUUCCUGCCGCACACUAAGCGCCGUAGGAGGUGAGGAGGAGACCAUUUGAGUAGAAGGCAAGGCAGCAGUAUUCAGGAAACAGGUUAGUUUAGAUCAAACGGUCUUAUACCACAGCAGAAAAUGAGCAUUUCCCUGUGUCAUAACCAGACAAGCACAUUUACCUGGAAGGCCUUUUGGUUUUGAUUUCCUACUGGCAUCAGCUUUGCUGUGUCUUCAUUAAAUGCUUAUAACACUAUGCUCUACUGACAAUAUUGGGAAGGGCAGGGGGUUGAUAUCACUAUCCACAUCCUGCGUUUUACUCUAUUUUUGGCACAGUGGGUAUUUAGAAGACAGUACUGUCACCAGCCAUUGUCCUCUGCUCAGCAGAGCAGUCAUAGUUCAAAAUAUAUUCAGCUUGGGACAGAUAUACCUGCCUAUUAUCAGUGCCAUUUUAAAGAGUUACAUGAUUCAUCGAGUCUUCAGUCAGGAACCUAUUUUAAGCCUUGCUGUCAUUAACUGCGACUAAUUUUCCUAGGCAAAGCAGCAGACUUCUGCAAAUGGUCAAGAAAUACUGCAGGAUGGGGCUGGUCAAUCAGAAGUAAUGUACACUGAGAUAAGCCUGGACAUAUUAAAAAUAGGGCAUAACAAGGCCAGACUUCAAGCUAGUGGUUUCUUAAAGCUGCUAAUGAUUUCUUAUCAGGCCUAAGCCUGUUACAGUCUCUAGCAAUGAGACGUAGUAGAAUGAUGAAUCCAACCCAAUUUCUCCACCUUACACAAGUCUGCCUCCUACUCGGGAGGGAAGAACAAGGCCUCUUAAUAGUUAUGUAAAGAAAGUUAUAAAAAGAAAGUUAUAAAAAGAGUUAUAAAGUUAUAUAAAGAAAGAUCUGUAACCUUCAUUUUCUGGGCUUGAAGAUCACCAUGACAACAUAAAGGCAGAUUUUUGAGGAGUAAGAGUUAAGUCUAAAUAUAAACAAGAAACUGGACAGAAAAAUUGACUGACAGUUUCUUUAACAAAGCCCAUCACUCGGGAGGAUUUUUUGUGAGGGACUGGAUUAAGCAGUACAAAAACACUGUAGUAAAUCUUGCCUUAGGGAUUAAGGACAGCACCUCCACAAAAGGUCCUUAUCAUUGCACAAGUUCCAAAAGUUACCAACUCUUGCAGAUUUUUUUUCCUACUAUUUUUCCCCUGUAAUUACAUAAAGGAUUUAAAUCCUACAAGCUUGGAAAGCGUUUAGAUUCUAUUUUGUAUCCUCCAGGAAAAAAGAUUACAACUAUUCCUCUAUCUGAUUACAUGGUUUUUAUGCACUGAAUUUUUAUCAUUUAAUCCGCUGAAGCAGAGCUAAGGGGAAGGGGUGCCUUAAUUACAUCUGCAUUAGUUUCAUAUCUGAUCAAAAUAUACUCUUCUGAUUAUUAAAAAAUACCUUUAAAACAACAUUAAGUGUAAACAUCGAGAUAUAAUAUAGACAUUUUCCAUUAUAGCACAUGCACUAGGACUAUUUGAAACAAAUAGUGUAUCUAUUAUGUUCAUAAAACAUUAAGGAUGCACAAUUCCUAUUUGAGUGAACACACUGUAUUAUUACUUAUUCAGAAAACCAUUUAUUUUAGUUGAAAAUUAGAACUGGAAGAUUUUUUUACUUUGGUACAUUUGAUGCUUAUGAAAGAAGUUAAUUGCCUAUUGAUAUUUUAAAUGCUAUAAAUAUUUCCCAUAUAUAAAUAAAAUUCACCCACUCUGAACUAAAGUUUGAUCUUAGCAGCUUUCAGGAAAAGUUACAGCGUUGCUCUUAUUUCACGCAGUUGCGCUGAUUUUCCACAGGCACUGCUAACAUGGUACGAUCCAAAUCUGUUUGCGUUCCCAUGAGGAAAACAGAAAUCAAUGUUGUGUAUUAAAUGGCACGCUUACUGAAUUGCUGUGGUACUUAUCUAAGAAAAGUGAAACGCAUUUUAAAAGGAACUAGUGCUCAUGUAUUCUUAAAUAAUGCUCAGAAAACGCUCUUUUUUUAAAGGAUGAUAACUAGAUUUUUCUUCCUUUAAACACUCCAAUAUUUGGUUGAGUCAUGCAAAAUCCUCCAUGAAUGGUAGCUUUUCCUUCCUUCUGUAACACAGAAAACCAAUGGGAGUUUCAAUGAACUUUGUUCUUGUAUGGACUGCUGAUACAAUUCCAGGUGUUUGGAAGCAGCAGAAAGUGUAAGAGUUUCAAUCUAGUCUCAUGCACUAAUCUCUUAGAUCAGAAUUACUGCUACCAGAUAAAGGUACCUCAUUUGCAGUUUAUAGCAGUUAAUGGGGAAAAAAAAAACCCAAACAAUUGAGGGCUGCAGGCAGGGCUGCAACAGUCAACCUUCCCUUGCAGGGACCCGUGUUUUAUCACCGGAAACUUCUCCUUCAAUCAGUGCUAAGGACUCCUAAUGCAGAUUGUCGAGGGCUGACGUCAACUGGUUCUAUGGAAACCACAAAGAGUUUAAUUUAGUCACAUUAUUUGUUUCAUGUAGUGAUCAGAGCAUAACUAGAAAGGGAAGUGACCUUGCUCUUGGUGUACUUCAAACAGAAAACAGAAAUAUUUGGGGGCCUUUGGCAGAGGUUUGCUAUAGCUUGACUGACACCACUUAAUGGCAAAGCGUUGUUGUAAUGUUGAAACAAAAAGAUGCCAUUCUAAGCACCAGCAAUGUCUCGAGUGCCUUUGCCAUGGGCACAAAUCAAUACGUUAUUGCCAGGGAAUGCACACUAUUCAAAUGGAGAUGCUAAACAUUAUUAUCGAUAGAUGUUAGAUGACAACCUAUGAAUCAUACUUUGUUUUCAUUCGCACCUAAUGCAAUAUUUGUUCAUUUCUGUUGCUGUUCUUUCAACUGCUUUGUUAGGUUUAUUCGAAUUCAGAUAACUUAAAAGUCAGUAAGAAUUAUAGGUAAUAGAGGAAAGCUUUUUCACCAAAUUUUCUAUUGUGGGAUAAAAAGUCCUCCAUGUUCCAAUGAUCAGUUGAAGCAGCUAUUGUUUUAAACCAGAAUGAAGUACUGUGUAAAACAGGCACGUAAUUAUUUUUGUU